rnacentral:rRNA from 1 species
UCUGGUUGAUCCUGCCAGUAGUCAUAUGCUUGUCUCAAAGAUUAAGCCAUGCAUGUCUAAGUAUAAGCAAUUUAUACAGUGAAACUGCGAAUGGCUCAUUAAAUCAGUUAUGGUUUAUUUGAUAGUUCCUUUACUACAUGGUAUAACUGUGGUAAUUCUAGAGCUAAUACAUGCUUAAAAUCUCGACCCUUUGGAAGAGAUGUAUUUAUUAGAUAAAAAAUCAAUGUCUUCGGACUCUUUGAUGAUUCAUAAUAACUUUUCGAAUCGCAUGGCCUUGUGCUGGCGAUGGUUCAUUCAAAUUCCUGCCCUAUCAACUUUCGAUGGUAGGAUAGUGGCCUACCAUGGUUUCAACGGGUAACGGGGAAUAAGGGUUCGAUUCCGGAGAGGGAGCCUGAGAAACGGCUACCACAUCCAAGGAAGGCAGCAGGCGCGCAAAUUACCCAAUCCAAAUUCAGGGAGGUAGUGACAAUAAAUAACGAUACAGGGCCCAUUCGGGUCUUGUAAUUGGAAUGAGUACAAUGUAAAUACCUUAACGAGGAACAAUUGGAGGGCAAGUCUGGUA